AAGUUAAAAAAUCUAAGUGUCUGCAAAACAGGAAGAAGUCUUUGCAGAGGAAAUUGAAUACUGUCUGAUGCUACAAUUCAUAUGGACCCUUUCCUGGAUUGAAGCUUGACUUUUUUAAAAAAGGUUUCAAUAAAUUGCUUAUACCUAUGAAGAGAUGCAAAAGAACCUUCAAAAUAAAGCAAAGGACUUGAAGAAAGAGAAGGAAGACAUGAAGAAGAGGAUGUCAUUUAGGUGAAGUUGUAUCAGCUCUGUGCGGUCACAUGGGUACCUACGAAUCAAAGCACCCAUCAACCAGAUGCAUCUCUGAGAGUUAACAGUAGAAGGUGGCAUAAUAAAAGAAGUUCUCGGUGGUGAAAAAGGGCCAUGCUGGAUAAGGAACUGGCUGCCUCUGUGAACAUCCUACUCAAGGCAUCUUCACUGCUGUACAUCCUUUUGAAAUCCCAGAGGUCUUCAGUCUCCCUGUGGAUUAAGGAGAUGUGCAGUAUUUAAAGUAGCUUCAGGAAGGCAUGGAAGAGGACUGAGUGCGGAAAGCUUUUUGUGCAUGCUGCUGGCCACCUCCAGCGGCUGCCUCCAGCCUCCAUCAGCUGCACUCUGGGGAAGAGGAGGCUGCCUUCUACCUCUCAGCAUCUCUGGAUUUCAUGUUCCUGUCAGCACAGAGGAGCUAAAUGGCCUUUAGAGG
rnacentral:sRNA from 1 species